GAGAGACUGAGGCUCAGAGAAAGAAGCAUCAUUCUUGCUGGAUAUUCUCUGGGCCCUAUGGGAACCAUGAAUGAGAUGCAGGCUCUGAAGCCACAGCAGUCUGGUGUGAAGACAGACACAAAUAUAUCCACUGAGCCUCCGCUGUGCAGACAACUUAAGUGGCACUUUAAACAAGCCCCAUAACAAUCUUGCUGAGUAUUUUUCCAGUCUAUGGAAGAACAAACAUAUUCUGAGGAGUUUGCAAGUUUGCAAGAUCUUGGAGGCAGUGAUCACAUGCAGGGUUCAUACCUAACCCCGGACACUUAUGAGCUGUGUGGCUUUGGGCAAGUGAUUUCUCUUCCCUGAAUCUCAGUUUUCUUACCAAUAAAUGGGAUUUCUCACCUCACAGAGUGUAUAUAAGAACUAGAAGCAUCAGAAAUGUGGAGCAUUUAGCUUGGUAUUGGCACAUAGUAAGCCCUCAAUAAAUACUAGUGAUUGCAUUAUUGCCUAGAGGUGCACAGCUGAUAAGCAGGAUUUAAAACCAAGGCUCUGAUACCCCAGAGCCCAUGCACUUUUUUCUGCGGCUCAUGAUCUCCCCAUCUUGUCAAAUGGGCUCCAAACCAGAUAUUUCAGCUUCACAAGGCUGCUAAUCAAUGCUUUAUUAUAAAUAACUCCAACCUUCCUGCACAUAAAUUCAUUACUGAUCCUUCCCAGCUUAAGGUUAUAUUUUAUUACAUAAAAGUCAUCUUUUGCUUUUAUUAAAUAAAAGCCACUUGGAAAAUUCCAUUGAGGGCUUUGCACUCAGAGGGCUCACAAUCAAAGCUUGGGUGUUAUCCCACUCUAUGCUGGGACAAUAUUUCAGAAGUGCCCACCAAGGGGUCUCCAAGGGUUUUCUAUGGCACUGGAAUGCAGAGAGAAGAUGGGGACACUGGAGCUGGCCUCCCAUGACUGGAGGUAACCUGACAGGUGUGCAUGACAGUAGUGGGGAAUGCACAUUGAGCUCUUGUGUAUGCCAGGGACCAUGUUAAGCCCUCAGUCCAGAUGGUCUCACUUUAACCCCAUAAGGGGCUACAGCAGGGCUCAGAGAGAUCAGGACCCAUGCCCAAGCAUGCAGGCAGGGGCUGGAAGAGCUGGGAUUUGAACCACAUCUGCAAAGCCUGAGCUCUUAACUGUCACUCCACACUGCCCCUGAGACCAUGAUCUGCUCAGAUUGAUGACCAUCACCAACCUUCCUUUUGGAAGAAAUGACCAAGUUGACAUUCCCUGUGCCAAACGGUGCAGGCACCAGGGAUGAGGACAUGGCCUUACUAGGGUCCCUUCCCAAAAGGAGCUCACAGGUAUGAGACAAAGAGACAGUGUUGAGGCUGGGGCAAGACUAGAAUGCCCCAAGAAGCCCAGAGGAGGGGCUGUUACCCAGCCUGGGAGUCUGAAGCUUCCUGGGGCCAAUGGCAUCUGAGUUGAGUUUUAAGGACAAGUAUGAGUUAAGAAGGUGGAAGGCAGAGAAAGGAGGAAGGGCACGCCGGGCAUCUCCCCAUCUCUGACCUUCCCCUCCCUCAUUGACAGUGGGCUGGGUGUGUGAGUCCCGAGAGGAGGUCGAGGAGGAUCUGGGACUCAGGACUGAGUGCUUCGCACAGCAUCUGCAGAGAUGCAGCCUGAAGCAGAUGACAUCAUGUCGGGCUCUCUGGCUGGGCUGGCACAGAAUGAUGCUGACAUCCUCUGGGCAUGUCCCUCCUUCCACCCCUAACUCCUCAUCCUUCCAGGAAUUGAGUGGAUUCGUGUCCCCUGUUGGUGCAUCGCCCCCACCCCAAGACGCCUCUCUCUCUGGAAGCGUAAGGGAGGCACAAGUCACAGGUUUGCUUUGAGCCUCUGCUCUGUCCUAACACACAUCCCUCCUGUCCUGAGCACAUUUCUG
rnacentral:lncRNA from 1 species